GACGAACGCUGGCGGCGUGCUUAAUACAUGCAAGUCGAACGGUAAGGCCCUUCGGGGUACACGAGUGGCGAACGGGUGAGUAACACGUGGGUGAUCUGCCCUGCACUUCGGGAUAAGCCUGGGAAACUGGGUCUAAUACCGGAUAGGACCACUGCCUGCAUGGGUGGUGGUGGAAAGCUUUUGCGGUGUGGGAUGGGCCCGCGGCCUAUCAGCUUGUUGGUGGGGUGAUGGCCUACCAAGGCGACGACGGGUAGCCGGCCUGAGAGGGUGACCGGGCACACUGGGGCUGAGAUACGGCCCAGACUCCUACGGGAGGCAGCAGUGGGGAAUAUUGCACAGUGGGCGCAAGCCUGAUGCAGCGACGCCGCGUGAGGGAUGACGGCCUUCGGGUUGUAAACCUCUUUCAGCACCGACGAAGCGCAAGUGACGGUAGGUGCAGAAGAAGGACCGGCCAACUACGUGCCAGCCGCCGCCAGUAA
rnacentral:rRNA from 1 species